rnacentral:rRNA from 1 species
AAUACGGAGGGUGCGAGCGUUGUUCGGAAUCACUGGGCGUAAAGCGUGCGCAGGCGGUGAUGUAAGACAGGUGUGAAAUCCCCGGGCUUAACCUGGGAACUGCAUUUGUGACUGCAUCGCUGGAGUGCGGCAGAGGGGGAUGGAAUUCCGCGUGUAGCAGUGAAAUGCGUAGAUAUGCGGAGGAACACCGAUGGCGAAGGCAAUCCCCUGGGCCUGCACUGACGCUCAUGCACGAAAGCGUGGGGAGCAAACAG